rnacentral:tRNA from 1 species
GGGCGCUUAGCUCAGUUGGUAGAGCAGCUGACUCUUAAUCAGCGGGUCGCAGGUUCGAAUCCUGCAGCGCCCA